rnacentral:rRNA from 1 species
UACAGAGGGUGCGAGCGUUGUCCGGAAUCACUGGGCGUAAAGCGCGUGUAGGCUGCCCUGCAAGUCGGAUGUGAAAGCCCUGGGCUCAACCUAGGAAGUGCAUUCGAAACUGCAGGGCUGGAGUCCUGGAGAGGAAGGCGGAAUUCUCGGUGUAGAGGUGAAAUUCGUAGAUAUCGAGAGGAACACCGGUGGCGAAGGCGGCCUUCUGGACAGUGACUGACGCUGAGACGCGAAAGCGUGGGGAGCAAACAGG